rnacentral:rRNA from 1 species
UAGGGAAUAUUGCAAAUGGGCGAAAGCCUGAUGUAGCAACGCCGCGUGUGCGAUGAAGGUCUUCGGAUUGUAAAGCACUUUUUGGAGGGAUGAGGAAGGACAGUACCUCCAGAAUAAGCCUCGGCUAACUACGUGCCAGCAGCCGCGGUAGCACGUAGGAGGCAAGCGUUAUUCGGAUUUACUGGGCGUAAAGCGCGUGCAGGCGGUUUGGAAAGUUGGAUGUGAAAGCUCCUGGCUCAGCUGGGAGAGGCCGUUCUAAACUACAGAACUAGAGGAUGGUAGAGGGAGGUGGAAUUCCAGGUGUAGCGGUGGAAUGCGCAGAUAUCUGGAGGAACACCGGUGGCGAAGGCGGCCUCCUGGACCAUUCCUGACACUCAGACGCGAAAGCUAGGGUAGCAAACGG